rnacentral:rRNA from 1 species
UACAGAGACCUCAAGCGUUAUCCGGAAUCAUUGGGCGUAAAGCGUACCGAUAGGUGGUUUACCAAGUCAGAUGUGAAAUCUCCGAGCUUAACUCGGAAUCUGUCAUUUGAAACUGGUAGACUAGAGGGGCAAAGAGGAAGCUGGAACGAACGGUGUAGUAGUGAAAUGCGUUGAUAUCGUUCGGAACACCAAUAGCGAAGGCGGGCUUCUGGGUGCCACCUGACACUGCUAGGACGAAAGCGUGGGUAGCGAAUGGG